rnacentral:rRNA from 1 species
UCAGGCCUAACCACAUGCAAGUCGAACGGUAACAGGAAGNAGCUUGCUUCUUUGCUGACGAGUGGCGGACGGGUGAGUAAUGUCUGGGAAACUGCCUGAUGGAGGGGGAUAACUACUGGAAACGGUAGCUAAUACCGCAUAACGUCGCAAGACCAAAGAGGGGGACCUUCGGGCCUCUUGCCAUCGGAUGUGCCCAGAUGGGAUUAGCUAGUAGGUGGGGUAACGGCUCACCUAGGCGACGAUCCCUAGCUGGUCUGAGAGGAUGACCAGCCACACUGGAACUGAGACACGGUCCAGACUCCUACGGGAGGCAGCAGUGGGGAAUAUUGCACAAUGGGCGCAAGCCUGAUGCAGCCAUGCCGCGUGUAUGAAGAAGGCCUUCGGGUUGUAAAGUACUUUCAGCGGGGAGGAAGGGAGUAAAGUUAAUACCUUUGCUCAUUGACGUACCCGCAGAAGAAGCACCGGCUA